rnacentral:rRNA from 1 species
AGCAGUCGCCGCGGGAAUACGGAGGGGGCUAGCGUUGUUCGGAAUUACUGGGCGUAAAGCGCACGUAGGCGGCUUUGUAAGUUAGAGGUGAAAGCCUGGGGCUCAACUCCAGAAUUGCCUUUAAGACUGCAUCGCUUGAACGUCGGAGAGGUGAGUGGAAUUCCGAGUGUAGAGGUGAAAUUCGUAGAUAUUCGGAAGAACACCAGUGGCGAAGGCGGCUCACUGGACGACUGUUGACGCUGAGGUGCGAAAGCGUGGGGAGCAAACAGGAUUAGAUACCCGUGUAGUCCCUGUCUCUUAUAC